rnacentral:rRNA from 1 species
UACGUAGGGUGCAGGCGUUUAAUCGGAAUUACUGGGCGUAAAGCGUGCGCAGGCGGUUUGCUAAGACAGGUGUGAAAUCCCCGGGCUUAACCUGGGAACUGCGCUUGUAACUGGCAAGCUAGAGUGUGGCAGAGGGGGGUGGAAUUCCACGUGUAGCAGUGAAAUGCGUAGAGAUGUGGAGGAACACCGAUGGCGAAGGCAGCCCCCUGGGUCAAGAUUGACGCUCAUGCACGAAAGCGUGGGGAGCAAACAGG